rnacentral:SRP_RNA from 1 species
UGGUAGCCUCGCAAUUGUACUCUGUGAACCCCGCCAGGACCGGAAGGUAGCAACGGUAGCAGAUCUAUGAUGUGCCGAAGUUUUGCU